rnacentral:misc_RNA from 1 species
AGUCAUCAACCCCCUCCGUUUUUUCUUGCGGAUUGGGUUGGAGCUGGGGGCCUGCUGCCGCGAGGUGGCUCCCCUCAAAUGCAUCGGUUGGGCCUGUGGGUCGAACUCGACUGGGCGUUGUAUCAUCCUCGCUCGACAGAGACGUUCCCCUCUUGUGCCCUUCCCCGACCUGCCUCUCAGAGCGGCGGUCAAGCACUUUUUUGAA